rnacentral:lncRNA from 1 species
UGUAUAAAAGACAAACCGCAAAAAACAAACAAAAAAACAAAACUUAGAGUCAUCAGUUGAUGUAAGACAUUGUCCUUGUAGGGCUUUACGUUGGGGCUUUCAGCCUAUGCCCAAUGUCGGGAGGUCCCGGCCGCCGCUUCUACAAGUGUCUCUCUUGGAAACUCUGGGCAAGGUGCCUCCAUAUCUGGAUCCAGAUUUGAUGGUGUGCUGAGGGGUACGCUUUUGUUUGGUCUCUCGAUUUGCAGCGCUGGUGGCGGGAGGUCGCGGUGUGCUGCGCCAGGCACUGAGAGGUUGGGUUGGUGAGUGCUUUGCAGGUGUCGCUUGUAAGGGGGUCUUGCUGUUGUGUAGCUGCGAGUGGGAGCUUGCGUCUGGGAAACAUGGCUUCUGUACCCGCCUUGAGGGCCGCAGGGAUCUGCGCUGGGGUGUGGGAGCGCGAGCUCCGGCUCCCAGGAGACAAGGCCCUGUUUCCAUCCAUGCUUUGCUUCUGCUCCGAUUCCCAUUGGGAGCUGCUCUGGAGGUACGGGGGGGGUUCCCGCCUAGCUGGCGCCGGGUUGCCGGGCGGAUCCAUGCCGCCAUUUGUCUCAUCAUCAGCCUGUAGGACUGCCUCCGGGUUUUCAGCUUUGUCCAGAGGUUGUCGCAGAGCCGGUCGUAGAACUCCUGUGUGUGUUUGGGAGGCCUGAUGAGAGCACGUUGUGUUGUGGAUCUUGUCUGUGCCGCCAUCUUGGGUGGGCCUUGGCGAGUCCGCUUUGUCUUAAGUGUUGUCGCUUGUUCAUGCUGUGCAGCAGGGGCAUUCUUCCCCCGCAAGGACCGGGAUAUCCCCCGCCGGUCCAGAGGGGGGGGUAGCAGGGCUGCCGUGGGUGCUUGUCUGGGUGCGUGUCUCGUGUCGGAAGGUCGGCCGUCUCCUCCGGACCUCAGGCCCCGCUCCAGUUUAGGCCGCAUGGCCGGCGUUGAUUUUUCCGCCACGUAUCGGUGCCGGGCCAGUACCAUUUUGUGCCUUGCGUUCUGCUGAGUUGGUUCCCGAACACCGUAUGCCUCUGGCGUUAGUGGGUCACUCGGUACUUGCGUGAAUUUGCUCAUUAUUGCAGGAGCUCAUGAGAUGUGCAGCCGGCCAUCUUAGCUGCCAGGCCCCGCCCCCGGCAUGGUACCUUUUUGAUCUCCUAAAAUAUUUUUUAUUAUAUUCACCAUGUCCUAAAAUGUUGUAGUGAUACGACUAUUGACCUUGUACGUAAUACAAAUCUAUCAUGUUAUUAUUAUAGCAAAAUAAAAUGAUUUACCAAAAUCUGGCUAGAUAUUGUUUUAUUUUUUUAAUUAAUUUUUUUAUUGUGUCCUCUUUUGAAGUAAUUGCUAUACAAAUUCUACAACUACUGAUUGGCUUGAUUAGGAAUCUGAACACGACAAUUGAGGUAACAAUAACUGAUCUGGAGAAGUUUCUCAGCUUAGCUAUAAUCAAAGCUUGUCUGUUAUUGUCUAAAUAUUGUCUUUCAGGUUUCUUUCUUCUAAAAUUCAGAGUGUAUAGCAAUAACUUUAAAGCAGGACACGUUUUGGGGAGAAAACUAAUAAAACAACAGCCAGACUACUUAAUUUCUGUUUUUAUUGUGUUAUGUAAGGUUAUGAUAGAGAUGAAACAUUAAAUGAACAUUCCAAGCACCAUAAUAACUACCACAUGCUAAAGUGGUUUUGGUGCCAGGAAUGCCCUGGUGUUCCCCCAUUGUAAGUAGUCAAAAUUAUUUUAGAAUGGUUUGACUUCUUAGAUAGACGCCUCCACUACACCUGCAGGAGAGCUUCAGAACUUCAAUUAGCUCUCCUGAGCUAAUCCUUGCAUCUCAUUGGCUGAGAGCAUCAGAGAGCUUCCAGUUAAAGAGAAAGAACCAGUGGAGGCGGGUAACAGCGCCUGGUUGACUCCAGGUAAGAUGUCAAACAAGUCACACUGUUCUAAAAUGGUUUGGUUACUUAAAUUGAGGGUGGGGCUAAAGUACUGUCUAUCGUUAGGACAUUGGUUUGUUAUAUAGGGUUUUUUUUUGUAGUUUUGAAGAGGAAGAGCUUUGUUUAUUGUUGUAUAGAAUGGCCAGAUAAUUUCUUAUAUAUAGGCCAAAACCGGAAACGUACGCUAACUCUGACUUUUUUCGACCCUCUGAUUUUAUAUAGUUAUUUUUUGUUCAAAAUUUGUCAUACCUUUGUCAGUUCUCCAGCUGUUCUGAUUUAGUGAAUAAACCCCAGACUUUCUUUGUUGGACAUUUUGAAGUUGCAAAUAGGGCAAAAUAAAAACAAAUUUUGUAUGAUAAUAUGAACAAGAGUCACAAUAGAACUUUAACUAUGUACAUGUAUUAAGUAUAAAAAAAAAUUAAAUUAUUUAUAUGAAAUAUUCAUUUGUAAUAACAUUAAAAACUAAGACGGUUCCAUAAUUCUGAACUUGAAGUUAAUUUGAAAUAUCUACCAAGUGCAGAAUUAAUACAUAAUACAGGGGAAAUAAUUCAUAAAGGGAAAAUAGAUGUUUAGUUUUGUUCAAGUUAAUAGUGAGCAUUAGUUCAACUCAGCAAUGUUUAAAUUUAAAAUAAUAUUUUGGCAUACAGGGUUUUCAUUAGAAGCCUGCCCUUGUAUUCCUAUAUAAGAGAAAAAAAUAUGCAAAUGAAAGGAAAAGUAUAUAACCAAGGAAAAAUAUAUAACAAUAAUAGCAUAAUAGAUAAGACAUGGUGCACUUUUGUCUCUCUCAUGUGGAAUAAACAUUUGUAGAAUAAUUUUUAUUUGUUUAACUUUUUUUUUUUAAAUAGUACAUAAAGCUGCUGACAUAAAUCUGCUUUAUUUGGGAAUAGUAUGGUAAACCCUUAGAUAAAAGGAAAAAAAGUAGAGUGAAAAUUGUUAGAACGUUAAGAUACGAGUGGGUUGAAGUGACCGAAAAAUGUAAGGCCAGUGGAACGAACAGGAAAGCUACAUAGGUCACACAUGUUCCCAUCAAUAUGUGACAGCAAAAUACAAUUUGUGGUGAAGGAGCAAAGCAUUCUGGAUGAUGUAAUGGGAUUUGUUUUUGUAAUAGACUAGGUAUUUGAGGGGAAUUGGGACAAGUACCAUGUAAAAUGUGAUUACCUAACUUUACCGCCAGUGCAUUAAUUAGGCUUUGAGGGAGGCUAGAAUGAAUAAUCUAGCAAAGGGAUAUCGGAGUGAGCUAGCAAAAAAAUGAGAAAAGUACAUGUUUCCUUCUAUGGAAGCGUGAAUUAGUGGCUGCAACAUGGCCUAAUUUUUGUGGCGCUCGUGAGUAAUGAAAUAUCCGCUCUGCUUGACCUUGUCUCCUCUUUGAAGUUGGCAUGAAACUAAUGGCAUAUAAUAUUUUAGUGUAUUAGCAUGUAUAUUAUUUGUGUUAUUACUUGAAAGGUGCAUGAGUCCAUCAUAGCCAAAAGCAAGUUACACAAUUAAAAAUGAUAUAAUUAGUAUUUGUUAUAUAAACAUAAAGCUAACAAAGCUUGUGCUGUCUUCAUUAAUGACGUUUUACCAGUCGUUUUGUUUCCAAAUGCCACUAACAUGAUCAAUGUCCUCCUUUCAAAUGUUUAAAAUAGUUUUGUCCAAGCCGACCUGGUAAAUUAUAUUAGUAUAAACAUUAUGACUUUGCUACUGCAAGAAUGUUUAAGUGUUGAUGUAUAGAUGCGAUAUGUAGAUGAAAUUAUAUGUUUUUUUUCUCCCUGUUAUUAUAGUCACUAUUAAUCAGUGUCCUGUGGUUAUGUAACAAACUCAUUUUAUAUUUUUCAACCAUCUCCAGCAAAGGUGGGAUUUCAAGAAUUAUUUAAAAAAAUUACAUAUGGGUGCGUAGAAUAAAAUAAUACCAGAAAAAUGCCUUGGUCUUGAUAGUAUUGAUGACUUGUACAAAAUGUAGUUCACGUGUAGUAUUAAAUAUUAAAGGAAACUAGAAGCUCCAUAAAAACCAAAUCUUUCUGUAGCUGUUAUGGUUCAAGGAGAGUAAACAAGAUACCAAAGACUAGUGUAUGUCCGAAUCCUGCUAAAUUCACACAAAUAAUAGAGACAAAUAAUGUAAUAAUGUAAAGUGGAACAUUAUCAUUUUCAUAUCUCAAGCAGAGGUUUUGGCCAUUUUAUGUUAAGCCGCUUGAAACCUGAUUGACAAAGACCGAAAUAUAUGCACCCAUAAUCUUUUAUUUAACAUAGCCACUACAAUGAGCUGUAGUGGUUAUGGUGCUAGAAGAUUCAUUUAUUGUAACUUUUGUUGCCAAAUAAGUCAUUUAGAGAUGUAGCAUUUUUUGCAAUAGUGCUUUGAACAAAAUCAUCAGUGAAUUUUGGCAAAUCAUCAAAUAGAAUUUUUUGUUUUUUAAAGAGCAUGACUCAGACUACAUUUCAGCUAGAUAAUGAUAAAAACUAAAAGAGAAGCAAGCAAGCAAACUGGAAUUAUGUUAACAUGGCAUUUUUCUAUUUGGGACAGAAAUAAAUAAGCUAUUAUUACAUGUUGUUAUUGUUUUUAACAAGGCACAUGCUUUAUUAACAACAGAUUUAAAAAAAGUUGUGUGUAAUUGGCUUGUGUUUGCAAAAUAACAUAUCUUAAACUAUUCAAAUUCGCCAGAGGUGUAAUAUUAAUGAAAAUGCGGACUUCCUCACAGUGAGGGUGAGCGUUCAUGUAAAUAAAUGAUUUAAAUGUCGUCAUGUAAUCUUUAAUUAUUUUAGCUAUGUAAUAUGUGUAUAUAGUAUUUACUCUUAUACUACAUGUUCAAUUUAGUUGUAACUUUUAUUUUAUUUAAUAUGUAAGUUUACAUAACUGUUUUUUGUAAUGUUUUCACUAAUGAC